GACGAACCACACGAACGUUAUUCGGAAUUACUGGGCUUAAAGGGUGCGUAGGCGGCGCGGUAAGUAGGGUGUGAAAUCCCUCGGCUCAACCGAGGAACUGCGCUCUAAACUACCGUGCUUGAGGGAGAUAGAGGUGAGCGGAACUUAGGGUGGAGCGGUGAAAUGCGUUGAUAUCCUAAGGAACACCGGUGGCGAAAGCGGCUCACUGGAUCUUUUCUGACGCUGAGGCACGAAAGCUAGGGUAGCGAACGGG
rnacentral:rRNA from 2 species